AUUGAACGCUGGCGGCAUGCCUUACACAUGCAAGUCGAACGGCAACACACCAUGAGCUGCCGCCUACUGGUGACCGGGUGCGGAAGGCAGCGGAACACAUCGGAAUCUGGUGUUUCAUGGGGGAUAACGUAUGCUAACUUACGCUAAUACCUCAGGAGACCUGCGGGUGAAAGCAGGGCAUCUUGCGGCCGUGCGCGAUGGAGGCAGCCGAUGUCGGAUUAGGUAGUUGGUGGGGUAAAGGCCCACCAAGGCGACGAUCCGUAGCUGGUCUGAGAGGAUGAUCAGCCACACUGGGACUGAGACACGGUCCAGACUCCUACGGGAGGCAGCAGUGGGGAAUUUUGGACAAUGGGCGCAAGCCUGAUCCAGCCAUACCGCGUGGGGGAAGAAGGCCUUCGGGUUGUAAACUGCUUUUGUUCGGAAAGAAAAGCCGUCGGUUAAUACAGGGGUGUCAUGACGGUACCGAAAGAAUAAGCACCGGCUAACUUCGUG
rnacentral:rRNA from 1 species